UGGGGAAUUUUGGACAAUGGGCGAAAGCCUGAUCCAGCAAUGCCGCGUGUGUGAAGAAGGCCUUCGGGUUGUAAAGCACUUUUGUCCGGAAAGAAAUCCUUGGCUCUAAUACAGUCGGGGGAUGACGGUACCGGAAGAAUAAGCACCGGCUAACUACGUGCCAGCAGCCGCGGUAAUACGUAGGGUGCAAGCGUUAAUCGGAAUUACUGGGCGUAAAGCGUGCGCAGGCGGUUUGCUAAGACCGAUGUGAAAUCCCCGGGCUCAACCUGGGAACUGCAUUGGUGACUGGCAGGCUAGAGUAUGGCAGAGGGGGGUAGAAUUCCACGUGUAGCAGUGAAAUGCGUAGAGAUGUGGAGGAAUACCGAUGGCGAAGGCAGCCCCCUGGGCCAAUACUGACGCUCAUGCACGAAAGCGUGGGGAGCAAACAGGAUUAGAUACCCUGGUAGUCCACGCCCUAAACGAUGUCGACUAGUUGUUGGGGAUUCAUUUCCUUAGUAACGUAGCUAACGCGUGAAGUUGACCGCCUGGGGAGUACGGUCGCAAGAUUAAAACUCAAAUGAAUUGACGGGGUCAUAGCUG
rnacentral:rRNA from 1 species